GACGAACGCUGGCGGCGUGCUUAACACAUGCAAGUCGAACGGAAAGGCUCCAGCUUGCUGGCGUACUCGAGUGGCGAACGGGUGAGUAACACGUGGGUAAUCUGCCCUGCACUCUGGGAUAAGCCUGGGAAACUGGGUCUAAUACUGGAUAUGACCUUUCUCCUUAUGGGGUUUGGUGGAAAGUUUUUCGGUGUAGGAUGAGCCCGCGGCCUAUCAGCUUGUUGGUGGGGUGAUGGCCUACCAAGGCGACGACGGGUAGCCGGCCUGAGAGGGUGAUCGGCCACAUUGGGACUGAGAUACGGCCCAGACUCCUACGGGAGGCAGCAGUGGGGAAUAUUGCACAAUGGGCGGAAGCCUGAUGCAGCGACGCCGCGUGAGGGAUGACGGCCUUCGUGUUGUAAACCUCUUUCAGCAGGGACGAAGCGUAAGUGACGGUACCUGCAGAAGAAGCACCGGCUAACUAUGUG
rnacentral:rRNA from 1 species